rnacentral:rRNA from 1 species
ACGCACGCUGGCGGCGUGCUUAACCCAUGCAAGUCGAACGGAAAGGCCCUGCUUUUGUGGGGUGCUCGAGUGGCGAACGGGUGAGUAACACGUGAGUAACCUGCCCUUGACUUUGGGAUGACUUCAGGAAACUGGGGCUAAUACCGGAUAGGAGCUCCUGCUGCAUGGUGGGGGUUGGAAAGUUUCGGCGGUUGGGGAUGGACUCGCGGCUUAUCAGCUUGUUGGUGGGGUAGUGGCUUACCAAGGCUUUGACGGGUAGCCGGCCUGAGAGGGUGACCGGCCACAUUGGGACUGAGAUACGGCCCAGACUCCUACGGGAGGCAGCAGUGGGGAAUAUUGCACAAUGGGCGGAAGCCUGAUGCAGCAACGCCGCGUGCGGGAUGACGGCCUUCGGGUUGUAAACCGCUUUCGCCUGUGACGAAGCGUGAGUGACGGUAAUGGGUAAAGAAGCACCGGCUAACUACGUG